AAAUUGAAGAGUUUGAUCAUGGCUCAGAUUGAACGCUGGCGGCAGGCCUAACACAUGCAAGUCGAACGGUAACAGGAAGCAGCUUGCUGUUUCGCUGACGAGUGGCGGACGGGUGAGUAAUGUCUGGGAAACUGCCUGAUGGAGGGGGAUAACUACUGGAAACGGUAGCUAAUACCGCAUAACGUCGCAAGACCAAAGAGGGGGACCUUCGGGCCUCUUGCCAU
rnacentral:rRNA from 2 species